rnacentral:rRNA from 1 species
UACGAAGGGGGCUAGCGUUGCUCGGAAUCACUGGGCGUAAAGCGCACGUAGGCGGACUCUUAAGUCGGAUGUGAAAUCUCGGAGCUUAACUUCGAAACUGCAUUCGAUACUGCCGUGCUUGAGGACUGGAGAGGAGACUGGAAUUUACGGUGUAGCGGUGAAAUGCGUAGAUAUCGUAAGGAAGACCAGUGGCGAAGGCGGGUCUCUGGACAGUUCCUGACGCUGAGGCACGAAGGUCAGGGGAGCAAACGGG